rnacentral:rRNA from 1 species
UGCUUAACACAUGCAGGUCGAGCGGAAAGGCCCUUUCGGGGGUACUCGAGCGGCGAACGGGUGAGUAACACGUGAGUAAUCUGCCCUGCGCUCUGGGAUAGCCACCGGAAACGGUGAUUAAUACCGGAUAGGACCACUUCACGCAUGUGAUGGUGGUGGAAAGUUUUUUCGGCGCAGGAUGUGCUCGCGGCCUAUCAGCUUGUUGGUGAGGUAACGGCUCACCAAGGCUUUGACGGGUAACCGGCCUGAGAGGGUGACCGGUCACACUGGGACUGAGACACGGCCCAGACUCCUACGGGAGGCAGCAGUGGGGAAUAUUGGACAAUGGGCGGAAGCCUGAUCCAGCAACGCCGCGUGAGGGAUGACGGCCUUCGGGUUGUAAACCUCUUUCAGUACCGACGAAGCGAAAGUGACGGUAGGUACAGAAGAAGGACCGGCCAACUACGUGCCAGCAGCCGCGGUAAUACGUAGGGUCCGAGCGUUGUCCGGAAUUAUUGGGCGUAAAGGGCUCGUAGGCGGUUUGUCGCGUCGGGAGUGAAAACACCGGGCUUAACUCGGUGCUUGCUUUCGAUACGGGCAGACUAGAGGUAUGCAGGGGAGAAUGGAAUUCCUGGUGUAGCGGUGAAAUGCGCAGAUAUCAGGAGGAACACCGGUGGCGAAGGCGGUUCUCUGGGCAUUACCUGACGCUGAGGAGCGAAAGUGUGGGGAGCG